GAUGAACGUUGGCGGCGUGCCUAAUACAUGCAAGUCGAGCGAACGGACGAGAAGCUUGCUUCUCUGAUGUUAGCGGCGGACGGGUGAGUAACACGUGGAUAACCUACCUAUAAGACUGGGAUAACUUCGGGAAACCGGAGCUAACACCGGAUAAUAUUUUGAACCGCAUGGUUCAAAAGUGAAAGACGGUCUUGCUGUCACUUAUAGAUGGAUCCGCGCUGCAUUAGCUAGUUGGUAAGGUAACGGCUUACCAAGGCAACGAUGCAUAGCCGACCUGAGAGGGUGAUCGGCCACACUGGAACUGAGACACGGUCCAGACUCCUACGGGAGGCAGCAGUAGGGAAUCUUCCGCAAUGGGCGAAAGCCUGACGGAGCAACGCCGCGUGAGUGAUGAAGGUCUUCGGAUCGUAAAACUCUGUUAUUAGGGAAGAACAUAUGUGUAAGUAACUGUGCACAUCUUGACGGUACCUAAUCAGAAAGCCACGGCUAACUACGUG
rnacentral:rRNA from 1 species